UAGAUACCCUGGUAGUCCGCACAGUAAACUAUGUACACUAGAUGUUGGGGUAAGACUCAGUGUUGCAAGCAAACGCAAUAAGUGUACCGCCUGGGGAGUAUGCCCGCAAGGGUGAAACUCAAAGGAAUUGACGGGGGCCCACACAAGCGGUGGAGCAUGUGGUUUAAUUCGAUGAUACGCGAGGAACCUUACCUGGGUUUGACAUUGAAAGGAAUGCUAUAGAGAUAUGGUAGCGUAGCAAUACGCCUUU
rnacentral:rRNA from 1 species